rnacentral:lncRNA from 1 species
AUGGCUGAAGUGCUAUCAGAGAAGCCCAGCUCUGACUUCCUCUUCUCUGUGUGCUUGAGGUUUCAUAGUGUUUCCGCUCACAGUAAGAGAUGUUUGAAUGAUCACAGUAUAGAAGAUAUUCACCUGGAUCAGACGAUGAAGAUCAUCCAGCUUCAGAUCUAUCUGUUGAUGUGGUCUCAAGUCACAGAGAGUCUAACAAACACAGCAGUAACUUUAGGAGCUGAUGUGAUUAUAAGCUGUGAUCUUGAUAUAGAGGAGAUUUACUGGUACAAACAGAAGAUCUACACAAACAUAACCAUAUUACACAUUCUUUGUUUGUUUAGUCUGUUAUAAUGUGUGAAUUCAGUAAUGUUUGAUUGAUUGUUGUUUCAGGUUUGGUGAAGAGCUACACUGAUGUUCCUGGAAGAUCUAAAAAUCACACUGCAGCUAAAAACUCAAAUAAUCCAAAGGUAAAAUAUGUCUCAAAUAAAUGCUAUAUUAUUUUUACCCUUCCUAGUGAUUAUUGCAGUAAAUCCUUUCAACCUCAAAUAACAUGAUCAAGAUUUAUUAUCUGAAUGAUCUGAAAAAUGUAAGAUGUUACACAACUCUGGGAAACACUUGACUGAGACAGACAAUAUUUUAAAAUGUGAUUCAAUCCUGUCAUGCUUGAAAAAUAACCCCCUUCAUCCCUUGUGAGAAUUUAUUUGCAAUAAUGAUUGGCUGACUGUACAUCGUGUCUUACAUACUGUAUAUGGCCACUGAUAUAUAAUGUCUUUCUCUUUCAGUGUGCUGAAAUAGAUUUUUUCAUGUAUCCUGGUAACACCAUGCAUUGCCGAGAGCAGAGCACUGUUGUCCUUUACAGCCAGUGAAAUUUGCUGUUGUUCUACAGUUUUAUGUUUUAUUAUUUGUCAUACAACAGGAAAUCAAGGACACAAACAUCAAUAAAAGCUCUCAAGAGGUUCUUUUUUGGCUUGCAUAGAAAUAUUUUUAUACAUAUUGUAACAUCUAACAUCUGCACAGCUCUUGUUUGUGGUUU